rnacentral:RNase_P_RNA from 1 species
UUAACAACUUGAGUGGUCGCCCCGCCUUUGGAGGGGAGGAAAGUCCGAGCUGCACAGUGCAAGGAAAGCCGAUAACGUCGGCCGUGCUACGUCUUAAGCGUAGUAUAGGGAAAGUGCCACAGAGACAAUACGAGGUCGGCGCCUCGUUAACGCGAGGCAACGAUCAAAAGGUGAAAAGUCCGUCCGUCUUUUAUAUGGCGGCGACGGAGCUGCUGCCGUAAGGCAGCAUUGCUGGUAAACCCUUUCCGCAGCAAGGAGGAAUGGAAGAUGUGGGUCAAAGCGCGCGCUGCGCUCCACACUGCCCUCCGCGCGAGCCCCCUGGCAACAGCGGGCCUAGAGAGAUGACCACCACGACAGAACUCGGCUUAUGAUAGUUGUCGAGGAC